rnacentral:rRNA from 2 species
CAGUGAUAAACUGGAGGAAGGUGGGGAUGACGUCAAGUCAUCAUGGCCCUUACGACCAGGGCUACACACGUGCUACAAUGGCGCAUACAAAGAGAAGCGACCUCGCGAGAGCAAGCGGACCUCAUAAAGUGCGUCGUAGUCCGGAUUGGAGUCUGCAACUCGACUCCAUGAAGUCGGAAUCGCUAGUAAUCGUGGAUCAGAAUGCCACGGUGAAUACGUUCCCGGGCCUUGUACACACCGCCCGUCACACCAUGGGAGUGGGUUGCAAAAGAAGUAGGUAGCUUAACCUUCGGGAGGGCGCUUACCACUUUGUGAUUCAUGACUGGGGUGAAGUCGUAACAAGGUAACCGUAGGGGAACCUGCGG